AGUUAAAACGGGAAGCACGCGUGGAUGACACUUCAACUUUUAACGCGCCUCACGCGGCGAUGAUUUCACGGAAGCAUCGUCAAUAGAUGGAAAGCGACUCUCAACGUCUCCAUCUUCAGUCUGGUACAAUUUUACAUAGUUUUUUCUGCGAUUCUAGCUGCUAUUGUGUCCUCUCUAGCAACAUGAUGACAUGUCACCAAGCAAGGACGCUCGAUCAAUCCCUGUCGUCCAUUUGGUCUGUCCAGCCGGAUUUUUGGGGAUUUUGUGUUUGAUUUUCGUACCCCCAGCUUUCCCUUUGUCCUUGGGGUUUUUGAAUUGUGAAAAGGGAUUGGUAUUUUCGUUUUUACCCUCCGCUUUUUCCCCCCAGAAUCAACCCUAAAUUUCUAGGGCUUUUUUCCCCAGAAUCAACCUUAAAUUUCUAGUAUAUAAGAUCGCUUACUCUGGUCUUUGUGGGAGAGUUCUUUAUUUGGGAACUGAUUGUUCGCUUAGCCAAAAAGGUUGGAAGAUAGAGUUGGAAUUUCUUAGCAAAUAGUUGCAGAGAGAGAAUCAGUUAAUUACAUCACUCAUAUAAGAUAUGCGAUUUAGAUAUACGCUUUCUUUGUUUGUUCAUUGUUUGUUUGAAACUUGUCGAAUUUCUGAAGUCUAAAGUCGGUGGUGAAAGUCAAUUUCUCACUCGUCGUCGUCCCCGUCGCUGCACUAGAAAAGCACCGUUCCCUUGAACCAUUGGAAACAUGACGAUUAGCUGAGAAAGUUGAUGAUCAUCCAUAGGCCACUGCGGCUGUGUUGUCAUAUCGUUCCUAUUCUCAUCAUCACAUCCAACAUACCCUGAUUCAAUAUUUUGCAUUGGCUUCACAAUCUGUUGAGGAUAUUGAUCACCAUAUCCAAAUUCAUUAGGCCCUUGGGGUAGUAGUGUAUCAUCACCAUCAUCGUCGUUUCCACUGACAGUUGAUUUCUUAAUUUUUUAACUUUACACCUAACGUACCACAAAACAACAUCCUUGUGCUUCAUCAUACCUCUAUUACUUAACAACUUUAUUACCUUGUCGUCAAGACUAUACUCUUUCAUGAUCCAAGAACUUCAUUCUUUUUAUUUUCUUCCUAGUUGUAAGUUCUUUUGAUCCCAGCUUUGUUUGCACCUACCGGUUUUCCUUUGCUCUAACUUCCUCCUCCCACCAAAGUCCGACUAAACCUUGUAUCGCGUUUCUUUAAUUUAGUAAAAAAAUAUUUAGUA